rnacentral:rRNA from 1 species
UAACGCGUGAGGAACCUGCCUCAAAGAGGGGGACAACAGUUGGAAACGACUGCUAAUACCGCAUAAGCCCACAGCUCGGCAUCGAGCAGAGGGAAAAGGAGUGAUCCGCUUUGAGAUGGCCUCGCGUCCGAUUAGCUAGUUGGUGAGGUAAUGGCCCACCAAGGUGACGAUUGGUAGCCGGACUGAGAGGUUGAACGGCCACAUUGGGACUGAGACACGGCCCAG